GCCGGGUGUGGUGGUGCACGCCUGUAAUCCCAGCUACUCAGGAGGCUGAGGCAGGAGAAUCACUUGGACCUGGGAGGUGGAGGUUGCAGUGAGCUGAGAUCGUGCCAUUGCACUCCAGCCCGGGCGACAGAGUGAGACUCUGUCUCAA
rnacentral:SRP_RNA from 1 species